GAACCAGACUGGAUGUUGGAAGUGAUGUCCGUCCCACCCUGACGGUGCUGCCCCCCUCCAGUGAGGAGCUGCAGCAGGGGAAGGCCACGCUCAUGUGCCUGGCCAACAAGGGCUUCCCCUCAGACUGGAGUCUGGCCUGGAAGGUGGACGGCAGCAGCAGCAGCAGCAGCUGGGAGGAGAGCAGGAGCCCCGGGGUGCUGGAGAAGGACGGCCGCUACAGCUGGAGCAGCACCCUGAGGCUCCCUGCAGACCAGUGGAGGAAGGUGGGCUCUGUGACCUGUGAGGCCACCCAGGGCUCCCAGGCUCCGCUCUCAGAGACACUGAGGAGAGACCAGUGUUCCCAGUCCUGACUUGACUCACUUGGACUCUGCUACUGGUUUUACUCUGCUACUGCUCUCUGAACUCUGUAACUCUCUCUGUGUCUGUG